UGGGGAAUCUUCCGCAAUGGACGAAAGUCUGACGGAGCAACGCCGCGUGAGUGAAGACGGCCUUCGGGUUGUAAAGCUCUGUGAUCCGGGACGAAAGAGCCUGAGGUAAAUAGCCUAAGGAAGUGACGGUACCGGAAAAGCAAGCCACGGCUAACUACGUGCCAGCAGCCGCGGUAAUACGUAGGUGGCAAGCGUUGUCCGGAAUUAUUGGGCGUAAAGCGCGCGCAGGCGGCUUCCUAAGUCCAUCUUAAAAGGGCGGGGCUUAACCCCGUGAUGGGAUGGAAAGUUGGAAGCUGGAGAAUCGGAGAAGAAAGUGGAAUUCCUAGUGUAGCGGUGAAAUGCGUAGAGAUUAGGAAGAACACCGGUGGCGAAGGCGACUUUCAGGACGAAAACUGACGCUGAGGCGCGAAAGCGUGGGGAGCAAACAGG
rnacentral:rRNA from 1 species